rnacentral:rRNA from 1 species
CGUAGGGGGCAAGCGUUGUCCGGAUUUACUGGGCGUAAAGAGCGUGUAGGCGGCCAGGCAGGUCUGUUGUGAAAACUGGAGGCUUAACCUCCAGACGUCGACAGAAACCGUCUGGCUAGAGUCCGGAAGAGGAGAGUGGAAUUCCUGGUGUAGCGGUGAAAUGCGCAGAUAUCAGGAAGAACACCAAUGGCGAAGGCAGCUCUCUGGGACGGUACUGACGCUGAGACGCGAAAGCGUGGGGAGCGAACAGGAUUAGAUACCCUGGUAGUCCACGCCGUAAACGAUGGGUGCUAGGUGUGGGGGGUGUCGACUCCCUCCGUGCCGCAGCUAACGCAUUAAGCACCCCGCCUGGGGAGUACGGCCGCAAGGCUA